CGUUGACGGACAGUACUGCCUGUAGGCGUCAAGCCAGUCAGAAGUAAUACGACAGUACGCCCUUCGACGUCGAUCUUUUGACUAGUUUAAACACAGUACGCCAUACGACGUAAAAUUUUACCGGCAAUCAUAAGGAAGGGCAUGUUGUACUGUCACCGAAGAUAUAUUUUAGACUUUGUACUGUCACCACACAAUGUUAAAAAAUCUGUUCAAAGAAAGUACCUGCACUCACACAUCCAAAUUUUAUUGGCACCACCCUUACACACACUACGCCCAUAGCCGUCGUGUUUUCAUACAUUUUGUUUAGUACUGCGCCACGGCGGUGCGCCGACAGGUCGUUACGUGAUUUCGCGCGCAAUUAUUUUUUCGAACAUGGCAUUUUCUCGCAAUUCAUAUGAAAAAGAACAAAAGCGGAUUCAGGACCUAUUUGACGCUGUUUUGACUUCUGAAUCGAGUCAUGACCCCUUCGAAGAUGAUGGAGAAUUCGGAUCCGAUGCCGAUUUUCAACCAUCUGGUGAAGUAUCUUCGAGUUCCGAGGAUGAAGCUCAGGCAUCACAAAUCCGUUCUGUCAUAUCAUGUGUUAUUAUAAUAGUUGCGCUGUGACGCUACGCCUAUGGGCAAUGUAUGAAAAAUAGUACUGUCUCAGCAACCAUAACAUGUGAGAGAGUACUGUCCGUCAACGUGUUAACUUCUUCUUCUUCUUAUAGUGCCAUAUCCUAUCGGAGGUCAGCAAUCAUUAAGGCUAAUUUAACUUGGUUCACUGCUGCCCGAAAGAGUGAUCUGGUACUCAUAUUAAACCAUUGGCGUAAGUUCCUGAGCCAAGAUAUACGUCUACGACCAGGGCUUCGUUUCUCUUUUAUCUUUCCCUGGAUAAUAAGCUGGAGCAGGUGAUAUUUGGAGUUUUGCAUUAUAUGACCCAGGUAUUCGAGCUUCCUCCUUUGGACUUGUUGCAGAACUUCUGUUGGCUUUCCCAUUUUUUGCAGCACAGUAGUAUUGCGUAUACGAUCCCUCCAUGAUAUUCGCAGUAUCCGCCUGUAAACCCACAUCUCAAAUGCCUCAAGCUUACUACACAUCGCUUGUGUUAGUGGCCAGGCUUCAACCCCAUAAAGUAACACAGAGAAAACGUAACAUCGCGCUACUCUCAUCCUCAGAGAUAUUUUUAAAUUGCGGUCACAGAGAACUUUUUUUAAUUUAGUAAAAGCAUUUCUUGCUUGUUCAAUGCGGCAUAUGUUUAACUAGUUACGUAAAAAACCUAAAUUUCUUCACUAGGAAAUUAAUGAAAUACAAAAGGAUUCUGUAGGUGUAUAGACGACACGCUGUAAACAUUCUUGUUUACAAUGUAAACUUACCUUAAAAGUUUCGACUUAUUUUGAACGAAUAAGGAAAACAAUGUUUUGUGACACAGAAUAAGAUUUCAGCGAACGGGUGAAAGUACAUUGCAAUAUCGACCUUGUAGUUUGAGCAAUAAGGAUCAUUAUCUUACUGUUUCAUGGAUAUAAAAAAAUGUAUUCAAUUUUGAACUCUACGGUGUAUGAAAUAAAGGUGUAAAGAAGAUAAAUAACAAAGUAAAACUGUGACAACUUUGUGUAUAUAUUUUGUACUGAAGACUCAGUUUUGAUUUAACUGAUAAACAAGUUUCGUUUACAGGUAUUACGGUACUCGUAGCAAAAUAAGCUUGUAGUAAACUUUACUAUGAAAUCUCACAGUGUGGAACACAUUUCUUUCGCUAAUUAAAAAAAAUCGUUCACAGAGUACGUGCCAACAAAAUCACCGCAAAAAGGGUUCCGAAUUUAGCGACUACACUAACCGCAAUCAUCCACAAUUUUUAUUUCCUUUUUUUUUGUAAAAGAAUAUUUGCCAUAUCUUUUUUUAAAUAUGACCAAUAUUCCCAUUCCCCUCCAAAUUGAGGAGGAGCGUUUGAGAGGGCGAGGAUCGAACCACCACUCUUCGGUGAUGAGCCUGACCGCUCUUACCGUUGAGCUAGUUGAGGCUAUGUAAAUAUUUUUUUUUGUUUCUGAAAACUUACGUUGUUUACUUAAUUAUGAUAAUUAGCCGCUCUUGUUCGCCUCAGUUUUGACGCGCUAGUGACAUAUCAGAAUGAGAGGGGGAGCCUCUCAUUCUGUGAGGAGUCAGGCCAACAAUGAGUCAAAAAUGGUUGCUAAUGAAUAAAGAAAUAAAUAAAAUAUAAACGUUUUUUUAUUAGUAGGUAUGCAUUUAUAAAACGCUUCUAAGCAGUAGUAACCCGCAUUUGUCACUCAGAUAAGCUGUUUGUAACGUGUAAGCGCGUCUAAGCGCAACACAAUCCGAAUCGUCGAAAGCUCGCGACUUAUCCAGCAGCUUAAAACAAGCAUAACAACUCUUAAGUUAACAGCUCGCUCUUGUUCAAGCUAAGCGUAACAUUACAUUGACCCUCCUUUAUAUGUUUUUUAAUAUUUAAAUAAAAAAAUCUUCUCUUAAAUAUGACGUAAGAAGCAACGGACUAAAAAUAAAGGUACUGUAGUCUUAGUUACUUCCCAAUUUAAUAAAAUGUUUUCCACUUUAACUAUCACCAAAUAGUUUACAGUAAAAAGAAAAGUUGAAAAAAGAAAAGUUUUCCGGUAGUUUUGAAUGUCGGUGAUUUUAUAUAUUUGUUUUUUUUUUUAUUCUUUACUAGUUAUUUUAGAUAUUAAGACUGGCACAUGCAAUGAUAGCCAUUGGCUGUUUGCUCAAGGGUUGAAUUCAUGAGGCAUGAACAUAAUUUGGACGCUCAGAACCCUAAAAAUAAUUCAUCGCGGACAAUGCCACAGGCAUUCGCUAGUAAGGUAGUACGUAAAUCAAAACCAAAAGAAACACCUAAUAAUAUAUUGCUUCCUUAAAACUUUGUUAAUAAAUAAGGCAAUUUGUCAAGGCAGCACAAACCCCUUGCGCGAACCAGCAAUAUCAAACAACAACCAAGUCGUGUUACUUGUUCGAUAUAAAUUACCUUCUUCACAAAAUGGCGGUAUUUUAACACUUCACCUACAUUAAAGGGUACAUUGUACCACAAACUUAGCAAUAAUUUCAUACUAAAAUCUUAACUAUACCUACUUACUAUAUUCAAUUACAGACUUUACUUCAAAGUCGGUAUUAUUAUUAUAUUGCCACGUCAUUGCUUAUGUCUAAAAGUAUUUUAAUAAAUACCUCAGGAUUAAGACCUUAAUCUUAUUGAACCCGCCCAUAAAUCACAAUUUGACAAAGUAAUUACGGUUUAAAUAUAUUUAUUCCUCCAAAAAAGAACGUACUGUUCACUUAACUUAGAUACAACUUACAUAUCGUCAUUAUUGCAGACGGCAUGCAUUAUUGUAACAGAUUUUUAAUUACGUUGUUUUUUUCAAUAUUUUCUCCAAGUUUGUGAGGAUGUAGGAUUUAAUCGAGAAAUGCAGAAUUUUUAUGUAGUUUAUAAAUUUAACAUACAAAUAAAAAACCAGUCACAUUGUUACUUUACUACUACUAAUACUUUACACGAUUAAACUUUUUUCUUUGUUUCUCCGAUAUAAUUUGAAGUUCCGAACUCGGCAGACUCGGUUUGCCUAAAUGUUUAGUGUUUCAGUACGAUGCUGACUUAUUCCUAGACUUAUGUGUUUGUAUGUCUUUAAGUUAGCACGCAAGACAUACCUACUCGUAGACAUUCAUCAUUUAUCAUUAUGUGACAUUGCACUCAAGCCCUAAUUUGUCGUUGAAUAAAAACGUAAAAUUACAAAGUUUCAUUCGGGUACCCUGUACCCACUCCGUAACGAAUUAAACAACGCGUCACUUAGUCUACAGAGGGUUAACUCUGACAUCUCUAUUUUAUAUUUUGUACACUCAAGGCUUGCAACAUUUAUUAAAAGUUAAUUAGGUCGUGACUUUCUUUGCACUUUGUGUAUGUAUAUUUGCUCCACAAGUAAUUAUAGAAAUAAAUUGCUUGUACCGGAAGCAAAUAUAAUGAGAAGUAUCCAGGAGCGAGAAAAUGUUUUAAGCUGUGUGUUGACGAAUUUUUAGUUUGAUACUGACAAUUUAGGAUUUUAAACUGAGUGCAUUUUUUUAUAAACGUAUAUAAAGUUGGUUUAUUAUAUAAAGGACAUGUCCCAAUAUCAUACUACUAAAUAAAACUCUUUAAUUCUAAGUAAAUGUUCACUUUACAACUUAUUUGAAGCUUAAUACUACAUAAUCUAGGAAUAGGAAAAUUGGCACCAAGGACUGAUCUACGCAGCGGUGGAUGCAAACGAGCGAUUGGUUUUCGUGAAGUUCAUAUAUUAAGUCGUCAAUUCAAUAGUAAAUUAAUUUUUGUAUUUACGUACCGAAGUAUGCUGUACAGAUAACAAGUUACAGGAAAAUAAGUAGCACGAACAACACUCGAGUCAUUGUUGUUGCAAAUUACAACACUUUCGGAGUUUCACAACAAUGUAGCGCAGCGCUGUUGUCGGAUAAAAAUGUGUUUUGACACGUCAUGACGUCACUGCCGGUAAUUUAUGGAGCGAAGUGGUUUACACGCGUUUUAAGGCUCCGAGUAAUUAAUACAGAAUGUGUGACUAUAAAUCAUUUUAACCGCUUUUAGUAUACAGUAUCGGAAGAGAUAUGCGUUUCAGUUUUUUUUU